CCUACGGGUGGCAGCAGUGGGGAAUAUUGGGCAAUGGAGGCAACUCUGACCCAGCAAUGCCGCGUGAGUGAUGAAGGUAAUUUUAUUGUAAAGCUCUUUUCUUUGGGACGAAUAAAUGACGGUACCAAAGGAAUAAGCCCCGGCUACCUACGUGCCAGCAGCGGCGGUAAUACGUAGGGGGCAAGCGUUGUUCGGAAUGACUGGGCGUAAAGGGUUUGUAGGUGGUUUGAUAAGUUAGAUGUGUAAUACCCAGGGCUUAACUCGGGUGCUGCAUCUAAAACUGUUAGACUUGAGUACGGAUGAGGAUAGAGGAAUGCGUGGUGUAGCGGUGGAAUGCGUAGAUAUUAGGAAGAACAUCAGUGGCGAAGGCGACUAUC
rnacentral:rRNA from 1 species